GACGAACGCUGGCGGCGCGCCUAACACAUGCAAGUCGAACGAGCGAGAGAGAGCUUGCUUUCUCAAGCGAGUGGCGAACGGGUGAGUAACGCGCGAGGAACCUGCCUCAAAGAGGGGGACAACAGUUGGAAACGACUGCUAAUACCGCAUAAGCCCACAGGUCGGCAUCGACCAGAGGGAAAAGGAGCAAUCCGCUUUGAGAUGGCCUCGCGUCCGAUUAGCUAGUUGGUGAGGUAACGGCCCACCAAGGCAACGAUCGGUAGCCGGACUGAGAGGUUGAACGGCCACCUUGGGACUGGGACACGGCCCAGACUCCUACGGGAGGCAGCAGUGGGGAAUAUUGCACAAUGGGGGAAACCCUGAUGCAGCGACGCCGCGUGGAGGAAGAAGGUCUUCGGAUUGUAAACUCCUGUUGUUGAGGAAGAUAAUGACGGUACUCAACAAGAAAGUGACGGCUAACUACGUG
rnacentral:rRNA from 1 species